rnacentral:rRNA from 1 species
UACGUAGGGGGCAAGCGUUAUCCGGAUUUACUGGGUGUAAAGGGAGUGUAGGUGGUCUGGCAAGUCAGAUGUGAAAGCCCGCGGCACAACUGCGGGACUGCAUUUGAAACUGUCAGACUGGAGUGCAGGAGAGGAAAGUGGAAUUCCUAGUGUAGCGGUGAAAUGCGUAGAUAUUAUGAUGAACACCAGUGGCGAAGGCGGCUUUCUGGACUGUAACUGACGCUGAGGCGCGAAAGUGUGGGGAGCAAACAGGAUUA